rnacentral:rRNA from 1 species
AUUGAACGCUGGCGGCAUGCCUUACACAUGCAAGUCGAACGGCAGCACGGGAGCAAUCCUGGUGGCGAGUGGCGAACGGGUGAGUAAUAUAUCGGAACGUGCCCAGUCGUGGGAGAUAACGCAGCGAAAGCUGUGCUAAUACCGCAUACGAUCUAAGGAUGAAAGCGGGGGAUCGCAAGACCUCGCGCGAUUGGAGCGGCCGAUAGCAGAUUAGCUAGUUGGUGGGGUAAAGGCCCAACAAGGCGACGAUCUGUAGCUGGUCUGAGAGGACGACCAGCCACACUGGAACUGAGACACGGUCCAGACUCCUACGGGAGGCAGCAGUGGGGAAUUUUGGACAAUGGGCGCAAGCCUGAUCCAGCAAUGCCGCGUGCAGGAUGAAGGCCUUCGGGUUGUAAACUGCUUUUGUACGGAACGAAACGGCCCUUUCUAAUACGGGGGGCUAAUGACGGUACCGUAAGAAUAAGCACCGGCUAACUACGUGCCAGCCGCCGCUGUAACAC